UACAGAGGGUGCGAACGUUGCUCGGAAUCACUGGGCGUAAAGCGCGUGUAGGCGGACGAUCAAGUCAGGUGUGAAAUCCCUGGGCUCAACCCAGGAACUGCAUCUGAAACUGGUUGCCUUGAGUGUUGGAGAGGGAAGCGGAAUUCCUGGUGUAGAGGUGAAAUUCGUAGAUAUCAAGCGGAACACCGGUGGCGAAGGCGGCCUUCUGGACAGUGACUGACGCUGAGACGCGAAAGCGUGGGGAGCAAACAGG
rnacentral:rRNA from 1 species